ACGAUGGCGCGCUGCCCGCUUCAGGGCGGACGUUAAAGAUCACGGGACGUCAUUACGAAAGAGAGCUGGUCCCAGGUGCACUGGGUGGCAACAUUCACCACAUGUGGAGAUCUACCUAAUUGGCGCUUCCCAACGUCCGUGCAUGGGGACCGUGACGGGGUUCAUCCCAAGUCGCCAUCGCUGAGGCUGCUGCUGGACCCCGCCGUGAGCUGGCGACUAAUAAACUCCUCGGUCGACGAGUCGCUCUGCGAGCCUGGGAGCCUCAGCGACACCGAGAGCUUGGAUUGCAGAGCAGCAGCAGCAGCAGCAACAACAGCAACAACAACAACCAGGAUCUCAGGUUCAGGUGGUCAAGCCAGGCAAGCGCGCCGGCAGCAGCGGAGCGGAAGGUGACGGCCCUUCAACGCGGCCCGCUCCGUCGAGUUGAGAAAGCAACGACGGAUAGGCCACCGGAUCUCCCGGUCUCCGGAGCGACGGACAC